rnacentral:rRNA from 1 species
AUUGAACGCUGGCGGCAGGCCUAACACAUGCAAGUCGAGCGGAUGAAGGGAGCUUGCUCCUGGAUUCAGCGGCGGACGGGUGAGUAAUGCCUAGGAAUCUGCCUGGUAGUGGGGGAUAACGUCCGGAAACGGGCGCUAAUACCGCAUACGCCCUGAGGGAGAAAGUGGGGGAUCUUCGGACCUCACGCUAUCAGAUGAGCCUAGGUCGGAUUAGCUAGUUGGUGGGGUAAAGGCCUACCAAGGCGACGAUCCGUAACUGGUCUGAGAGGAUGAUCAGUCACACUGGAACUGAGACACGGUCCAGACUCCUACGGGAGGCAGCAGUGGGGAAUAUUGGACUAUGGGCGAAAGCCUGAUCCAGCCAUGCCGCAUGUGUGAAGAAGGUCUUCGGAUUGUAAAGCAGUAUAAGUUGGGAGGAAGGGCAGUAAGUUAAUACCUUGCUGUUUUGACGUUACCAACAGAAUAAGCACCGGCUAACUUCGUG